AUUGAACGCUGGCGGCAGGCUUAACACAUGCAAGUCGAGCGGGGAAAGGUAGCUUGCUACUGGACCUAGCGGCGGACGGGUGAGUAAUGCUUAGGAAUCUGCCUAUUAGUGGGGGACAACAUUCCGAAAGGAAUGCUAAUACCGCAUACGUCCUACGGGAGAAAGCAGGGGACCUUCGGGCCUUGCGCUAUCAGAUGAGCCUAGGUCGGAUUAGCUAGUUGGUGGGGUAAAGGCCUACCAAGGCGACGAUCUGUAGCGGGUCUGAGAGGAUGAUCCGCCACACUGGGACUGAGACACGGCCCAGACUCCUACGGGAGGCAGCAGUGGGGAAUAUUGGACAAUGGGGGGAACCCUGAUCCAGCCAUGCCGCGUGUGUGAAGAAGGCCUUAUGGUUGUAAAGCACUUUAAGCGAGGAGGAGGCUACUAGUAUUAAUACUACUGGAUAGUGGACGUUACUCGCAGAAUAAGCACCGGCUAACUCUGUGCCAGCAGCCGCGGUAAUACAGAGGGUGCGAGCGUUAAUCGGAUUUACUGGGCGUAAAGCGUGCGUAGGCGGCCAUUUAAGUCAAAUGUGAAAUCCCCGAGCUUAACUUGGGAAUUGCAUUCGAUACUGGAUGGCUAGAGUAUGGGAGAGGAUGGUAGAAUUCCAGGUGUAGCGGUGAAAUGCGUAGAGAUCUGGAGGAAUACCGAUGGCGAAGGCAGCCAUCUGGCCUAAUACUGACGCUGAGGUACGAAAGCAUGGGGAGCAAACAGGAUUAGAUACCCUGGUAGUCCAUGCCGUAAACGAUGUCUACUAGCCGUUGGGGCCUUUGAGGCUUUAGUGGCGCAGCUAACGCGAUAAGUAGACCGCCUGGGGAGUACGGUCGCAAGACUAAAACUCAAAUGAAUUGACGGGGGCCCGCACAAGCGGUGGAGCAUGUGGUUUAAUUCGAUGCAACGCGAAGAACCUUACCUGGCCUUGACAUACUAGAAACUUUCCAGAGAUGGAUUGGUGCCUUCGGGAAUCUAGAUACAGGUGCUGCAUGGCUGUCGUCAGCUCGUGUCGUGAGAUGUUGGGUUAAGUCCCGCAACGAGCGCAACCCUUUUCCUUACUUGCCAGCAUUUCGGAUGGGAACUUUAAGGAUACUGCCAGUGACAAACUGGAGGAAGGCGGGGAC
rnacentral:rRNA from 1 species